ACUAAAAUUUUAAAAAACUUGUGCCUCACAAUUCAGAGAGUUAACCCUUGCGCUUCAAACAUGACUCUCGCUUGAGAAAAACCUAGGAACUUGCUUAAAACCCUUUUCCCCUCAAUCCUGGGUAUUCACUAUUCACGAUAAGUGUUUCACGAUUCCACCUCCUCUCUUAAUAUUUCUGCCAAUCAAUCAAAAUUGGGAAGUCCUCUUAGAAAAAAGUUUAGAAUAAAAAACCCUCUCAGAAACUUGUUUUGAAUCACAAACGUGUUCAUAAGCCCUCUCUUUUAGGGUUCAAUCUUUCUCUGAAUCGGAAUCGCUAAUCAAUGUCACCUUUGAUUUAGAAUCGCAUUCAUCAUCUCUCCAUUUGUUGAAUCUUAUAAUCGGUGUUCCCUCUUUGUUUUAAUGCAUUUCACGGCGUCGUGUUAAUGAAAUAAACCGUCGACGGCCGAGAUCCUUAUGAUAAUGAGAAUUUAGCCACGAAUCUGCCUCUUUGGCGAGCAGUCCUGAGAUGUGUUUACAUGUUCAGGAGUUUAAAUUGAGGUAUUUUUUUCUUCAGAGUCAUGUCAAAAUGUGGAUGUUGGCUUAGAGUUCUGGGUUGGGGUAAGUGUUGUGGUCUAGCUUCUUGUGUUGCUCUGCUACCCAUUAUUUGAACCAGUACAAGACAGUUUUGUUCUGGCCUCCUCAGGUUCUUCAGUUACAACUUGCUUCUCAACUUCAGUUUAGUUUUUGCUUUCGAUUUGGGUAGUUUUCUGGUUUUUGCCUUUGGUUCGACUUUUCCUGGUUAGUUGACUGUUGCACGAGUUUUGAUUUACAUCAUCGGUAACCACUCUCGUGCUUCUGAGGGGCUAACAACUUUUCUAGUUUAGGAAGAUAGUAAUAGCCAUUUUAUUUGAUUUUGGUCACAUGGUUUCUUUUGGUUAGAGAUGACUUUGUGAUAUUCCUAGAGCAGUGUGAUCCUUAGGUCUGUGUUGCAAAUAUGUUCCUUUGUUGCAACUAUGUGGUACACAAUCAAUCCAAUGCAUAGGUUAGAAAAGAUGUAGGUUCUGCUCUAGUAGAACCAGGCAGUCCUAUUUUUAAAUCUGUGAUUACAUUAAUCAUUUCUAUACCAUAAAGGUUGGAUCUUCACCUUAAAAAUUAGUACAAUAAAGAGGUCACUAUACCUUCUUUAAACUUGAUUUUGUUUCGGCUGUCCAUAUAGUGUGAUUGAAGUUGUUAAGAUAAUGUCAUAUUUUAAUGUUUCUCAUUCUACUAAUUAUUAUGAUUAAUUUUGUUUUUUAUGGGCAUGUAAGUUUUAAUUAGGAGAUAAUAAAGAAACAUGUUGGAUACUAAACUCUCAUGCGUGAAGGAGAAAACAAUGCUAAACUUUGUUCUGUCAAGGAUAGGUUGGCGUAGCUACUGGAGAGCUUUGUAUAACUCAACCGAAGAACUUGUGUAUUAUGCUGAUGCAGGAAACUGCAAAAGCAGUGCAUGUCAUUUGUUUUUGAUGAGUGCCAAGCCAAAUAUUUGCAACUACAAAAGCUAGAGUUUUAGAUCAGAUGUUUGUGGAGUUGUUUUGUAUUCCAGCUUGAAGCAUUUGCCCUUAAUGUUUUCAUAUUUGGAGAGGUAAUUAACAGACAUAUGGAUGCUAUUAGAAGAGUUUUAGAUAGCAGAGUCUUGUAUCAUAGCUGGUUAGAGAGGUUGUGGAAAGAAAUGUCUCAGGCGACAAGAACUCCUAGGUCAUCACCAUAAAUGUUCUUUACAAGCUUCUAAACAUCUUAUGCUUGCACCCACAUUAGAGUUAGCUUAUUAGGUUGAGUUAACUUUUAUAUUGUAUUCAGAAUAACAUAUGUAGUUUUGUUUUUAUAAUAAGUAUAAAUGUUGUUGUUUCUCAAUAUGUUACUUCUAGAUUUUAGAAUAUCUAUCAAUGUUAAAAUUUGGGAUUCUGUGCAAACUAGGUUGCACUUGAUAUGCGGACAACUACUUUAACUAUCUUACAAACACAUGCACUUCUAUUUAAAUUAUUUUAUACAUAGUAAAGUUUAAAAUCUAAAAUGUGAAUUUUUAGUGCCAAAUGAUGUAAAUAUAUGAAUGUUGUAAGAAGAAUUUUAUUUAUAAAAUAAAAAAGCUGCUUAUUUAACAAUAUUUCUCUUUUAAAAAAAGUAUUAAAUAUUUCCAUUCAACUCCAAAUUUCAACUAAAAGUAGAUAUUGAAUAUAUUAAU